CACGUAGGGCGCAAGCGUUGUCCGGAAUUAUUGGGCGUAAAGAGCGCGCAGGCGGUCGAUCAAGUCGAGUGUGAAAGCCCCCGGCUCAACUGGGGAGGGUCAUUCGAUACUGAUCGACUCGAAGGCAGGAGAGGGUAGUGGAAUUCCCGGUGUAGUGGUGAAAUGCGUAGAUAUCGGGAGGAACACCAGUGGCGAAGGCGACUACCUGGCCUGUUCUUGACGCUGAGGCGCGAAAGCUAGGGGAGCAAACGGGG
rnacentral:rRNA from 1 species